CUUCCGAUCACAUCAUAAAUCAUACACCAUGCAAAAAGACGCCGACGUCCAAUUUAUAAUUCCAGUGAUUGAUAAAGGGAAAACAAUAACUCCACAACCAAAUAAGAAGUAAAAAUGUUUAGUCUAACAGCUCAAGUUUGAUUAACGGACUGAAUAAAAUAAAAAAGCUACAAAAUUACAAGUUCUUCAAUAACAAAAAUCAUCUUGGCAUUGUUUUGCAGCUCCAAAAGACUCAACUCUUCAGCGAUACUGCAACACCGGAAAAAAAGGGGAGGGGACAACGUGAUGAGAACUCAUGCUAAAACAAGCAUAUAUUUAGAAAUCUAGACCAACAUCAAAAUAUUCACCUUAAUGAAACCAAUUUCCUUGGCAUUGCUGUGGAAGCAUUGCCUGCAACACAUGAGUCCGUACUUCCUGAUCAAUCCAUGAGAGUUUCCACACACACGGCUACAAAACACGGUAACAGUAGACAACAUUUACAAUCGAGCAAUAUCAAGGUUGUACAUGUAACUAAGAAAGAACUGUUAAAAUGUCACAGUAACUACUAAAUCAUACUCAUCUUAAGACAAUAGUUAUAACAUAACACUGAAAUUUACGACAAAAACUGCAUUGUUUAAGCUUUAAACCAAGUACAGACAUUAAAAGCGAAGAAUGAGUGAGAUUAUUUUGUAAAAAAAAAAAAGUGAAAUUUAAGGUAUCAGAAUCCGAUUUUAAUUUCAAAUUAAGGCAUCUUCAACUAACUAGUUACCUAAGUACUAAUUAGCAUUGGAGACGGUUUUAAUUCAUAAAUUUCUUUCAGAACAAAAUGAUAUUCAUGAUUGAGUGAAUCACAGUAAUCUAUUGAAAUCCUCAGAAAUUAUCAAAAUGAAAUCGAAUCCCAUCUAAUCAGAUAAACGGAUCGAAGAUUCAUUCUUCAAGGGAUGAAAGAAAAAAGGAAGAAAAUGAAGAGAUAGAUACCAUACCAUGUACGAGAACCAGGACCAUAGGUCUUUGGGUGAGAGUUCCAAACGUUGGAGUGACCCAUGGCUGUCUUCGAUUUCUUCCUCGGCGGCAGAGAUCUCAAAAACCCUAAAUAG
rnacentral:lncRNA from 1 species